UGCUCUAAGGCGCACAGGGCGACACUGGUGCUGGGAGGCGGGGGCAGGAGCUUGCUGGGGGCUAGGGACUCUUCUGGGUCCGUUCUCUCAGUCUUGUCGGAGGCUCUGGCAGGGCUGUAGCAGGCAGCAAUUCUCCGACUCGUGUUUUCGCGCCCCGGUCCCUGUGUAUGGGCUGUCAGGAAGGGAAGCGCCCCACUAAGCUGGCGCUCCUGGGAGGACUGGAGCCCUGAGCACUCGUUAAACUCGCAGGGGCUGGGAAUGCGGCACCGUGUGUGUCCCGUCACACGCCAGCCUGCUCGGCGCAGGGAGAGGAGCGAGCCCCCAACGCCCCCUCCUCGCCCGGCCGCUGCACUUUGUGUGUGUCUUUGCGGUGCAAAGACAGAUCGCUGGUUUCAGAGACUGUUUAUUGUUUGCAGCAGCUUUGGGGCUCCGGAGCUGGUAGUUACAGCAAAUUGUGUGUGUGGAUAAAGCAAAUUAACCCUCUCUGGAAAUCAGGCAAUAACAAUGCUCAAGCAGACAUGGCUCUGCUGAGGCACAUCCACAGCCCAACUUGUCAGCUCCAUUGUUGCGAAAACAGACUUAAUUGAAGUGGAUGAAGAUGAAUCCUCAGCAGCAGCGGAUGGCCGCUAUAGGAACCGACAAGGAACUGAGCGACCUGCUGGACUUCAGUGCGGUAGGAUAUUCUUCGAGGUCUUCUUAUGGCUUCUCCACGAUGUUUUCCCCACCUGUUAAUAGUGGGAAAACCAGACCAACUACAUUAGGAAGCAGUCAGUUCAGUGGAUCAGAUGCAGCUGUUUACUUUUAGAUAACUUAAGUGCCCUCUGAACUGUCGUCAAAUACUGCUUCAUAAUUUGUAUUCCUGCGAGUGAAAAUUGGUACGUAUAUGACAGAAUGUGUCUUGUGCUGCAAGGAGGAAUCAGAGUUUGGACAUCUUUCAUGUAUGUGUCAUAGGCCGCUUCUGACUUGGUUACUGAAGAACAUGCCGUUGCCAUAGCAAUGAAGGUCCUUUGAAGGCAGAAUUCUUGGCAGAGCUGUUGCGUCUCCUGAAGUGCUUGGUGUGUUGAUAUGAAAGUAUCCUGUCAGUAUAAGCACAUAACUGUAGUUCUGCAAUGGGAAGAAAAAUCUAUUUUAAUUUAAGAUGCACAACUUUGCUUAAAAAUUAAGUGUGAUUUGAAUCCUUGUUCAGGAUGCUGGCCAUUUGCACAGAAUUUAUUUGUAUUAAUACGGUGAACAACUUUUAUACUAAAAGCAAAUUAAAUACAUGUACAGGUUGAGGUACCAGUUUUUUCUUGCAUGUUUAGUUUUGUGAUAGCUUCUAAUAUUGCAGUCACUUGUAAACAGUAAUAGAUAUAGGGAGUUUAACACUCUUAAUAUUUUUAUUCUUUAAAAAGAUACCUGUGGUUCUAUCUUUCCUUUUUGGAGUCUUCUAUUAAUAAUUUGGGUUCUUGUAUAGUGCUCUGGAUCAAGAUAUCCAAUUUUCUGCAAUCUUCAUUAAUAUGGUAUAUUCCUGUGCUCCUGCUGAAGUACAUGAUUCAUUUACAUUUUAUUAUAGGUUAUAAAUAUGGCUAAAGUGGGGAAAAAAGGUUCCCUCCCUCAAUGGUCCCUAAAUGUUGAAGGAUUUAGUCCUAUUCUACUUAGAGAAUAUAUAGCACAUAGGAUUCAUUGUUCAACAAGCAUACUUGUGUGCACGCAUAUAUAAAAAAAAGUGUUAUAGAGAAUGCGAUCAUGGUUAUUAGGUCAAAAAUAGGACGAAUAUCCAUGUAGGUUAAGCUUACAUUCCAUGAGAUUGACUUUUUAUUUGCAAGUGGUGCAUAUAUAUAUAUUUUUUUCCCUAGAUGAAGCAUGGAAUACGCAAGCUAACAGUACUUUGGAGUAGUAUAACAGGUUCACAUAUGCUGUGAUAGGGAGUGGACUGCAAGAAUUUGCUGGUUGCUUGUUUCUGAAUGGAGACUUGGAAAAGCUGUUGUCUUUCAUAUAAAAUUUGAUCAAGAUUUUUGCUAAUUUCAGUUUCAAGACAUCAAGACUAACAUUUAAAUUUUGAUAAGAAAAUUUUCAGUCAUAAAUCCGAUAAAUGCUGUACAAUGCACUGAGUUCAAGUGAAUGAUUACUUUCCAUUUCUGUAAUUUGGCAAUUACCAAAGCACCUUUAGGGAAAGGAAUGUUGGAGUGACACAUUCACAGAGGUCACCCCUACCUUUAUCCUUUGCUCCUUUUUUGGUUUGCUUCAGCUUUUGUGUAUCAUUUUCUGAGAAGAAAAAUGUAAAUAGGAAUUAAAGAAGAAACUUUAGGAGUGUCUCAGUUCAUGAGUGAAUUGAAGGGCGAAAUCCCAUAAUGAAUACUUUGUCUUUAUUGUACAUUAUUUGUACUGGGGGGGGGGGGGGUUUUCAUCUUACUAUGGCCAGCACAUAGCACAUUCAUCACAUCAGUGACAUCUGUAGUGCUAAGGAAGUAUAGCUUUAGCUGGACUCAGCCUUAGGAAGUAUUACUGCAAUGCUGUACUAAGCAAUUUAGACAUGUCCUGCUACUUCCAGAAUCCACAUCUGUUGUUUUAACUUGGGUAGACAAGUUAUUGGCUUGAAUGACCUUGGUGCAGUGACUUGACUUUGAUAGGUAAAAAGGGAGGUCAACAUUGAUUGCAGUGAGAAUGUGAAACAAAGAAAUUUAUGACUCCACAAGGUAUUGUACUUUUUUUCUCUCUCUCUCCUUUUUUAUACGUUUUUAAGUGAGUUUAGAGCUGCAUUGACAGUCCUGUACACUGAAGCGCUCUAGUUACCUUUAGAACAGGU